UACGGGGGGAGCAAGCGUUGUUCGGAUUUACUGGGCGUAAAGGGCGCGUAGGCGGCCACCGCAAGUCGACUGUGAAAUCUCCGGGCUUAACCCGGAAAGGUCAGCCGAUACUGCGGGGCUAGAGUGCAGAAGGGGCAACUGGAAUUCUCGGUGUAGCGGUGAAAUGCGUAGAUAUUGGGAAGAACACCGGUGGCGAAGGCGGGUCUCUGGGCA
rnacentral:rRNA from 1 species